rnacentral:rRNA from 1 species
UACAGAGGGUGCAAGCGUUGUUCGGAUUUAUUGGGCGUAAAGCGCGUGUAGGCGGCUUGGCAAGUCGGGUGUGAAAGCCCUCAGCUCAACUGAGGAAGUGCGCCCGAAACUGCAGAGCUUGAGUGCCGGAGAGGGUAGCGGAAUUCCCCAAGUAGAGGUGAAAUUCGUAGAUAUGGGGAGGAACACCGGUGGCGAAGGCGGCUACCUGGACGGUGACUGACGCUGAGACGCGAAAGCGUGGGUAGCAAACAGG